rnacentral:rRNA from 1 species
GUCAGGUUAAGUCCUAUAACGAGCGCAACCCCUGGGUUUUACCAGCAUGUAAUGAGGUUUUCUAGCCAGGCUGCCGGUGCAAACGGUGAGGAAGGGGGGGAUGACGUCAAAUCAUCACGGCCCUUAGGCCUUGGGGUACACACGUGCUACAAAGGUUUAUACAAGGGGCAGCCAUCUGAGGACAGAGCGAUAAUCAAUAAAGUAUAUCACAGUUGGAAUGGGAUUUUGCAACUCGACUCCGGAAGCUGGAAUCGCUAGUA